UACGGAGGGUGCAAGCGUUAAUCGGAAUUACUGGGCGUAAAGCGUGCGCAGGCGGUUUGUUAAGUCUGUUGUGAAAUCCCCGAGCUCAACUUGGGAAUUGCAAUGGAUACUGGCAGGCUGGAGUAUGGUAGAGGAAGGUGGAAUUCCCGGUGUAGCAGUGAAAUGCGUAGAGAUCGGGAGGAACACCAGUGGCGAAGGCGGCCUUCUGGACCAAUACUGACGCUGAGAAGCGAAAGCAUGGGGAGCGAACAGG
rnacentral:rRNA from 1 species